UUGGAGGGCAAGUCUGGUGCCAGCAGCCGCGGUAAUUCCAGCUCCAAUAGCGUAUAUUAAAGUUGUUGCAGUUAAAAAGCUCGUAGUUGAAUUUCGGAAUCUGUCCGUCGGUCGGGCUUCACUGUCCGUACUGGUGUGAUGGGUUUCUACCUUCUGAAUAAUCGGCAUGUCAUUAAUUUGGUGCGCCGGGGAAGCAGAACUAUUACCUUGAAAAAAUUAGAGUGCUUAAAGCAGGCUAUCGCCUGAAUAGAUUAGCAUGGAAUAAUAAAAUAGGACGGCAUGGUUCUAUUUUGUUGGUUUCUAGGAUCACCGUAAUGAUUAAUAGGGAUAGUUGGGGGCAUUAGUAUUCAAUUGUCAGAGGUGAAAUUCUUGGAUUUAUUGAAGACUAACUUCUGCGAAAGCAUUUGCCAAGGAUGUUUUCAUUAAUCAAGAACGAAAGUUAGGGGAUCGAAGACGAUCAGAUACCGUCGUAGUCUUAACCAUAAACUAUGCCGACUAGGGAUCGGACGAUGUUAAUUUUUUAAUGACUCGUUCGGCGCCUUACGGGAAAC
rnacentral:rRNA from 1 species